rnacentral:rRNA from 1 species
AGGACGAACGCUGGCGGCGUGCCUAACACAUGCAAGUCGAGCGGAAAGGCUCCUUCGGGAGUACUCGAGCGGCGAACGGGUGAGUAACACGUGAGUAACCUGCCCCUAGCUCUGGGAUAGCUCCGGGAAACCGGGAUUAAUACCAGAUACGACCACUUUAGACAUCUGUCGUGGUGGAAAGGAUUCCGGCUAGGGAUGGGCUCGCGGCCUAUCAGCUUGUUGGUGGGGUAACGGCCUACCAAGGCGACGACGGGUAGCCGGCCUGAGAGGGCGACCGGCCACACUGGGACUGAGACACGGCCCAGACUCCUACGGGAGGCAGCAGUGGGGAAUAUUGCGCAAUGGGCGAAAGCCUGACGCAGCGACGCCGCGUGGGGGAUGAAGGCCUUCGGGUUGUAAACCCCUUUCAGCAGGGACGAAGCGAAAGUGACGGUACCUGCAGAAGAAGCGCCGGCUAACUACGUGCCAGCAGCCGC